GGGGAAUAUUGGACAAUGGGGGCAACCCUGAUCCAGCAAUGCCGCGUGUGUGAAGAAGGUCUUCGGAUUGUAAAGCACUUUCGACGGGGACGAUGAUGACGGUACCCGUAGAAGAAGCCCCGGCUAACUUCGUGCCAGCAGCCGCGGUAAUACGAAGGGGGCUAGCGUUGCUCGGAAUGACUGGGCGUAAAGGGCGUGUAGGCGGUUUACACAGUCAGAUGUGAAAUCCCCGGGCUUAACCUGGGAGCUGCAUUUGAUACGUGUAGACUAGAGUGUGAGAGAGGGUUGUGGAAUUCCCAGUGUAGAGGUGAAAUUCGUAGAUAUUGGGAAGAACACCGGUGGCGAAGGCGGCAACCUGGCUCAUGACUGACGCUGAGGCGCGAAAGCGUGGGGAGCAAACAGGA
rnacentral:rRNA from 1 species